AGGAGGAGGAGGAGGCCGCCGCCCCGGAUAGAGCAUAAGCGAGCAACGUACGAAAUGAAAGUUGAUUGGUAGAGAAGCAAUGGGCCAAUGUAGCAAGUCAAGUCUAGUCGUCCUCGUCCAGAACAGUAAAUUAGCAAUAUGUACUUCCUCCAAUCACAGCUCGACAACGUAUCUUUGAAAAUUCGACCCCUGGUUUCUGCAAAACCACCAUUUUCCCUAUCUCAGUCUCAGAUUUUUCCGUCCUUUCCUUUCUUCUAUAUUUGAAAAUAUACAAUCCUCCUUUUUUCUAUCUGUUUUUACACUAAUAUCCUCCAUACAUAUAUAGCAGAAGAGUUCACCAUUUUAUUCUUCUAAACUUUUUUUUUUAAUUUUUUUAAUUUUUUUUUUGGGGGGUCUGUCUCGUUUUACUUAUUUGUUUAUUUAUUCUUUUGAUAUGAUAAAAUAAUAAUAAAGAAAAUUUAGGGUUUGUGACUUUUGUGGGUGUUUUUCGUUGUCUUUUCUUCUUUCUAUUUCUCUUUCAUGGAUUUCUUUUUGAUAAAAAGAGAAAGAGAAAAAGAGGUAAUGGGAUGAAGAACAAUAAGACUUUGAGUACAGUUGAAUCGUACGGAGAGCAAGAUUCGCAGUUUUUUUUUUUUUUUUUUUUUUCUUAAAAGAGAAAAAAAAAAGUUCAUCAAAAGAGAUCUCACCGCUAUAUAAGCUACAUUCAGGGGUUUCUUUGGUACGUUGUCUUCUCCAUCGAUUCAAGCUUUCCUGGUCUUUGUUGAAGUUAGAUGAAUCAUCCAAUUUAUUAGAUCUGUCAAAAGUAUCUAUCUCUUUGGAAAUUGCAGAGAGCAGACUCGUGAUCAGUGAGUAGUCCGGAUGUGAUAUGCACUCUUUAAACGUGUUAACAAGGACCAUAUUUAUUGAUUAUCCACCAAAAAAAGGACUAUUUUUAUUUAUCAAUAAAUAAAAAAAAGAAGAAGGACAUACUUGAAAGAAAAACAUUAACAAUAUUUAAUGGUGUGCCUUUUUAUGUGCUAGAUAUUAGUGCGACGUGUCAAUGCAAGCGUUAUUUUUUUAAUUUUUUCCCGUUUUCGUACUUGGUUGUUGUAACCUAGUAUAUCAAUGGUGUUGGGAAAAAAGAAUUUUUUUAUUUUUUUAAUUUUUAAUUUUUGUGGUAUUAGUUGACGAUGUCAAAACAAGUAAUUUUUUUUUUUUUUGGGUACUAAAAAAACAAGUAUCUUUGGUUCCACUAAGAGCAAUUUUGUUUCAACAAACAAUAAAAUUAUGAACCAAAACUUAAUUUUGUUUUAAUUUUGCUUUGCCUGCUGCCAUUUAUUAUAUAUGUACUUGUUAAACUCUAGUGAAGCUGGAUUUCACCGGCUAGUACUUGCUUAAUUUUGCUUUUUGCUAUUGAAUCAUUUCAGCUCGUUAAGGCUUCCCAACUUUUGUUUUUGGUUUGUUUCGUUUUUUUAUUUUUUGGGUCCCUAUUUUCACAUUCGCAUACUCAUUUUUGAUCACUUUUUAAUACCUCAUGAACAGCUAAUAUAUUGCUAACUGAGUUCCAACUAAAACCUUUCCAGCACUAUAACUGCAUACCUUGUUGAUCUUUUUAAGUAAUGUUCACUUAAGCAUGGAUAUGCAAUGUUCACUUGAGCAUGUACAUUAUGCUGUUUUUGUUGCUAGAUUUAACUAUAAUAUACUGGGAAGCAUUUUGUAGCAUAUAUUUACUAUAAGAUCAAUUUAUUGGUUGUAUUUGGAACUAUCAAUUCAUCAAUUUGCUAAUGCUGUUCAAAUUGUGUUAAACAUGCAUAAGCCUUUUUAUUUAGUUAUGGUAUCAUAAUCACUUAAUCAAUAUCAUGAUUGUCUUCCUCAAUUUGUCAAGUUAAUAAGAUUUACAUGUCAUACUCAUUGUUAAUAAAUGCCUUGUGUAACGGUUAGUUUUUAUGUUUUAAUGCUAUAAUCUAACUAAUCUCGUAUUUCUGCUUAUAUAUAAACAAAUUAUAUUUAAUAAAUACGUGUUGCAAACAUACGUACAUACAUAUAGUUUUGAUUUACUGGGACCGAUCUCCCAAUUAUGAAGACAUAUUUUUAAAGGGUGCAACCUAAUUUCCAAGUUAGACUUUUUGUUUUUAAUUUUUUGUUAAAGUGUCAUCAUAGCACUUAUUACGUCUCUAUGCCUUUUUAUUAUAAUAUAUAAGAUAGUUUAUAAUUUCAAACUCUACAUGCAAAUAAUUUGUAUCUAUUCAAAAUUCAUAAAGACUAUAUAUUUUCGUUUUUAUUUUAUUUUAUUUUUCUAGUGAUACAAAUGGACAUAGUUGUAUCAAUUAACAAGCAUAAAUUGCUUUUAUACUUUCAGGGGUAACUAUUGAAAUAUAUAGUUCCAUGUGAAUAGGUUAGUGAUUAUAGAUUAAGAAAAGCUUAUGCAAAUGAAAUGAUUUAGUAUCCAGCUAAUUAGAGACAUUUAAGGGAAGCGGGUAAUUUUUGGAUGUCCUAAACUUGCAGCAAAUUAAGAAAGCUGAACUCAAUUUUGUGGUGCCAUUUCUUACAUGCAUGUUUCAACAAAAUUUUGCUAGUAGGGCUGCUGAGCUGCUUUGCAGUGGUUUAGCAUCUUUUCUAUACUAUGGUAUGUUAGUCAAUCACACAAUUAUGAUUAAGUUGCAAAAUUUCAGGAUUAAAUAGGCAUUAAUUUUACCAAAGAUACUCUCUAGGAUAUAUGUGUGUAUAUAUAUAUAUAUAAAUAGCACUUAAUUUGAAGUGUAAAAUCCAAGGUGAUAUAGAAUUCUACUUAAGAUGUUGAUGUUUGUUAUGCUGACCAAUCGAACUUGUUCAUGCAUGAAUAUGUGACCUGAGAUAUCCAUCAAAUGUAUUUAGUUGACAAAUGUAUGUUAGACUCUCUCUUAUAUAUGUUUCUUUUUUGAGGGAACUGGGGGACUUUUGGAUUUAUUGAGAAUAUAUUGAACUUUUAUGCUGUUCCAAUUUGGUUUAGAAACUUUAGUGGCAUAGAAUUUUCUAUACAAACAGUAAUCUUGAGAUAAGCUUACUUGCAUUUAUUUAAGAAUCAUUAUUCUAUAUAUAUGUAGAUACAAUGAGUGUAUAAAGAAUUUGCAUUGCUAGGAACUGGGUUUCAGAUGAUAAAGACCAGAGUAAAUUAGGUCACUGAACGACGGUGGUUAAUUUAUUUAAUUUUAUUUUUUUUGGGUGAAUAUGAUGGUAACUAAAUUUUGGGAAUUAAGUAAACAAAUUUAACCAAGUUGUAUCUAAGUAUGCCAUAUAUGCUAACACUUUAUUGUUUGUGUUGUUAACAUAUAUUAACUUUCUGAUCAAUUAGUUUAAAAGAUGGAUGUCUGAGUCAUUUGAGAAGUUCCAUUAUCUGCUUCCCAGAUGAAAUUAAUAAAGGUAUUCUGUUGUCACAUUUGGGGCAUUGUGGUUUAAGAAAUUGCUUCCUUAAAAAUCCUUUGGAAACAUAUAUUAACUCUGCAUAUGUUAUAUUUUGUUACAUUAUUUGCCACUACAAAAAUGAAAAUGCAGUUUCAAACAUUUCUGCAAUUUUACAUACACCUAAGUUGGAUCACAUGGUUUGCAUUGCAUAUGAGUGUUGAUUUGAGUUUUUGGACCGGUUAAAAUUGCAUAUGUCUUAGCCCAGAUUGGAUUGCCCCACCAUAUAUUAGAUUUUUGUCAUUGAAACUCAUUUGUUCUAACAUCUUAUAGUUGCCGGUUUAUGCCUGUGUCUCUGUCACAGGUGUUUUCUUUCCACAAAUAAUUACCACUUAUGUGAAAAAACAAAGUUAAAAAAAAAAAAAAAAAGGGUUAUCUAUACAUUUGGGCCCUCUAAUUUAUCCUUAAUUUCGAUUGAAUACCUCAAAUUUCAAAAUUUUCAAUUUGAGUAUGUCUAUUUUCAUUUUGAUUUCAAUUUAGGCUCCAUUUUCUUUUUUUCUUUUUUUUUUUUGUUAAUUAGAUUUUCUAUAUUAAUUUUUCCCAAUAAUAUAGAUAAAACCCAAUGAAAAUUUUAUUCAAAAUAAAUUUCUUAUAUUAAAAAGCUAAAAUACUGUUAAUUUAAAUUAUUAAGGAUUAAAUAAAAUUCAUCAUCAUAAAGGUUUAAUAUGCAAUUUCCAAAUUAAUAUGAAACUAAAAUUAAGGAUGUCAAUUUAAAAAAAUAAGAAUGGAGGCCUAAAUUAAAACCAAAUAGAAGGUUGAGGCAUUCAAUUUAAAAAUUUGAAACUUGGUUACUAAAUUGAAAUUGGGUUUAAACUAGAGGGCUGAAAAGUAUGUUAUGUCUAGUGAUCAAUUGCAUUUCCAGUCCAGAUAUUUUUUUGGGAUCAUUAUUAUCCCCCAGAUUUAUAGAUGCUUCAUUAUGCCAAUUGGUUUUGGUGGACGUAUAAACUGUAAGCCAAAUUCUAGAGCUCUAUUUGUCCACACAUAAAACGAAAGACUUAGUACCAUUGGAUGCUUCUUUUUAUGAAUUUACUUAAAGACAAAAGAAAAAAGACAAAGAAAAAGAAAAAGAACAAGAUAUUUCUUUGAAUUUGUUAUUCAAAUAAUUCUACGUACAUUCACCAAAAAAAACAAAAAAUAUCCGUACGGAAUUUUGCUAGUUGAUGACACAUAUAUAGAGAAAGCAAAUUGCAUAUUGAAUAUUCGAAAAUCAUUAUGACAAUAAAUAUCAUAAGCUUUUCAAUAAAUAUUGAUUUUGAAUAUAAAAGUACGAUUGUGUUGGACAGUGCACUUGUGGCAAAUGUAACUGUGGUCCUUCUCUGUCUUUUUGUUGUUGAUGCUUAUAUUCUCUUAGUAAACUGGUAUUUUUCACUGUUUUACUCAAUCACACAACUUUUUACCAUUCAAAUUCAUUCUUUUUUCUUUUUCUUUUUUUUUUUUUCCCUCUUUAUGCAACAUUUGGACAUAAAGAGCGUAAAGAGAAAUUAUUAAUUUGUGAUUACAUUUCUAGUUAAGUAUGACUAAUCAUCCAUUUUAUCUUCUAUGUCUAGGUCAAGUUGGUAUUUUCAGUUAUGAUACAGUCCACUUAUAACUUUGAAAAUGACUUGGCCAACCUAGCUAGAAAGGGAGAAAAAAAAAAAAAAAACGAUAUCUAAUUAGAGAUUUAUAAAUUCUGUUAAUUGUGAUUAUUUUUAUGAUGUGUUUCAAUUUUCGGUGAAGUAACCCAAUGAAGACUUGUGGCAAAAAUAAGUGGUACUCCAUUUUAAUUUAGAUUCGUAUGAAAUCUCUUCUACCCCUUUAAUUUAGAAUAUAUUGUAAUCCUAUCAAAAAAAAAAAUUGUAAAAGUGAUGAAGUUGAUAGCUUCGGUAGUUGAGUAUCCAUAUCUAUAUCAAUAAAUGUAUGAAUUCAAGUUAUAGGGACAUAAAGAGGUAUGAAUUAUUUAUAAUGUUAAAAAAAAGAAAAUAUAGAAGUGACAUAAUCAAAACAUAAUUAAGAGCCGUGAAUGAGAAAUAAUGGUGAUUAAUAGGUCGCGGUAAAAGAAUUGCAAUGGUCGAUAAUUUAAUUGGGCUUCAAUAUUAGCAACGAACUUAUUUUGGGUUAUGAGCUGACCAAGUUGUCAUUUAGUGCCAGGUAUUAAAAUUUGGAAUGGUACUUACUCUCUCAGUUCGGUAAAAUAUUAUACAGUGAGUUUUGAUUUAUAAGUAAUAGUAUUUUUCUUUUGUACUUAUACGAGCAGGCUUAAAAUUAUCUUGUUAUUCAUGUAAAAAUUAUAAAAAAGAAAAAAUAAAAAAGUGGCGCUCCCCCAUUUAAUGGUUAGUGAUUGAAGCUCCGGUGCUAUUAAAUGGAGUAGGGGUGGGGGUUGGAUCAUUUUGGUUAAUUUUUUGCAUUUUUUUACAACCUAAUUGGUCGGUUUGUUCUAUUGGCCUAAUACUAUUUCUUUUUCUUGUUAUUAUUUUCUUAAAUUUUUUAAUUUGUUAUGAAUAGUAUUAUAUUUAAUAUUUUGAGUUUAAUAUUAUUAAUAACUUAAAUAAACUAUUUAAAGUUUUAAAAAUACCAAUUAAUUAUAAUAAAAAUUUUAAAUACUUGUACAUGUGUAUAGUUGAGUUGGUUUGGUUAAAGAUUUAAAAUUGUCCAAAUCGAACCAAAUUGACUAUACCAAAAGAAUUUAUAAGUCUAAGAAUGAAGCUAAUUAACUAAUUCUACUACAAAAGACGAAAAAUCUAUUCAAGUAAUAAACAUUUAACACUUUAGUGAGUUAUAACUCACAAUAAGCGCAUAAAAAACAAAAAAAACAAAAAAACAAAAUAAUUUUUUUAUUAAAAAAAAAAAAAAAAGGAAAAAGAAAGAAAAGACGGAAGAAAGGAGAGGUUGGUGUGGUGGGGUUAGCAAAGCAAGCAAGGGAAGAGAGAAAAAGGGCGGUGAAAAGUGUGGGACAGGGUGUAAAGUAAUGUACGGAAGAGAACACGGGAUGGUACGGUGGAGCAGUCGGUUGAUUGGGGGACGAUGUGUACGAACAAGCAAAAGAAAGAUAAGAGAGAAGAGUAAACUAGCCAAAGUGUUAUUUGCUCAACUCCACCCUCCUUAAAUUUAUGUUCUUUUUUUUGCUCCUCCUCUCUUCCUAUUUAUACCCUUCUGUUUUCCACCAGCACAUUUUUUUUUCUUUUUAAUUUUAUCUAUUAUUAUUAUUAUUAUUUUUUAAGGAAUUAGAGUUUAUGGUGUUUCCCUUGUACUCCUGUUAAUUUUAUUUUUCUUUCGCUUUUUGUUUCUUGGAAUUUUUUUUAGCCAAAAAAAAAAAAAGAAAAAAAAAAAAAGAGAGAGAGAACGGGAACGAAGAAGACUGAAGUAUAAUAGAAUCUGAUGGGCAUGCUUUGCAGGAGAAGCAGGAUUAACUUUCAAAAUCUAUGUUUCCAUGUGAAUAUGUUAAAAGUGGUUAUAAAUCAAGGAGAAGGUUAAAUGUCUAGCUAAGACAUUUAAGGCAUUUACCGAAAAGAAAAGCUAAGACAUUUAAGGCUGCUUUGUAGGUAAGCUGGUAGCAAGAUUUCUUAAUAUUCUAAAACAGAAAUUCUGUCUUGAUAUGCAGGCUGUCUAGUUGUCUUGCUGGGUUUGAAAAUUUUUUUUUAAUUAAAAAAAUGUAAACCCAGUAAAAAAGGUAGCCAUCUUAUUAAGUUGCAAAUUUUGGCAGAAAAGGAUAGGUAUAAGCAUUAACUUUGUGAAAGGUACUCCUUAAGGCGUUUAUUGUACACAAUUUUAAGUGUAAAUGGAAAUAAGAAAAUGAAUUGCUGACGAAUUGAAAUUGCUAAUUCAUAAUGUGGUGGCGUGAGAAUGUAUUUAGGUGACAAAUGUGAAUUAGAGUUAUCCUAUUCCAUUUAGUUUUGGGAACUUACUUUGCAUAUUUAAUUUCCUUGCAAAACUGCAAUUUUGUGAAAUACUUGCAUUCAUUUAAGAAAAUCAUUUAACGUGUCUGAAAAAGUUUCAUGUCUAGUAACUGUAUGUGUGUGUCAAUUAGAUGACCAGAGGAUUCCUAAUUAAAUUUUGGGAAUUAGGUAACUCUAAGUAUGCUGUGCUAAGACCAUAUUAUCUUUGCUUUGUCACCAUUAACUUUGUUUAUUUAGAUUAAAAAAAGUGGAUGUAUGAACCAUUCAAGUUGUUCAUUAUUAUUAUUAUUUUU